rnacentral:lncRNA from 1 species
AGAUAAGUUGCAGCCACCAUGAUUCAAGUAUUCUUGACAUCUUGCUGCGUCCACCUUGGUCACAAUAGCGUUGACUGCAUAUUCCACAUAAAGAAAAUACAUUUGUAUAAAUAUCAUGGUAUGAAGUCUUUUAAAUCUAAAAAAAAAAAAAAGAACAUCCUCUAUGUGCUGUGAAAUAAAUGUUAAUGUUAAUAAAAAUAAGAUGCAUAUUGGGGCUCAGAAAUCGUAGAAUGAUUUGGCCAUUGUUACUC